AGAGUUUGAUCCUGGCUCAGGAUGAACGCUAGCGACAGGCUUAACACAUGCAAGUCGAGGGGCAGCACAGGUAGCAAUACCGGGUGGCGACCGGCGCACGGGUGAGUAACGCGUAUGCAACUUACCUAUCAGAGGGGGAUAACCCGGCGAAAGUCGGACUAAUACCGCAUGAAGCAGGGGCCCCGCAUGGGGAUAUUUGCUAAAGAUUCAUCGCUGAUAGAUAGGCAUGCGUUCCAUUAGGCAGUUGGCGGGGUAACGGCCCACCAAACCGACGAUGGAUAGGGGUUCUGAGAGGAAGGUCCCCCACAUUGGUACUGAGACACGGACCAAACUCCUACGGGAGGCAGCAGUGAGGAAUAUUGGUCAAUGGCCGAGAGGCUGAACCAGCCAAGUCGCGUGAGGGAUGAAGGUUCUAUGGAUCGUAAACCUCUUUUAUAAGGGAAUAAAGUGCGGGACGUGUCCCGUUUUGUAUGUACCUUAUGAAUAAGGAUCGGCUAACUCCGUGCCAGCAGCCGCGGUAAUACGGAGGAUCCGAGCGUUAUCCGGAUUUAUUGGGUUUAAAGGGUGCGUAGGCGGCCUUUUAAGUCAGCGGUGAAAGUCUGUGGCUCAACCAUAGAAUUGCCGUUGAAACUGGGGGGCUUGAGUAUGUUUGAGGCAGGCGGAAUGCGUGGUGUAGCGGUGAAAUGCAUAGAUAUCACGCAGAACCCCGAUUGCGAAGGCAGCCUGCCAAGCCAUUACUGACGCUGAUGCACGAAAGCGUGGGGAUCAAACAGGAUUAGAUACCCUGGUAGUCCACGCAGUAAACGAUGAUCACUAGCUGUUUGCGAUACACAGUAAGCGGCACAGCGAAAGCGUUAAGUGAUCCACCUGGGGAGUACGCCGGCAACGGUGAAACUCAAAGGAAUUGACGGGGGCCCGCACAAGCGGAGGAACAUGUGGUUUAAUUCGAUGAUACGCGAGGAACCUUACCCGGGUUUGAACGCAUUCGGACCGAGGUGGAAACACCUUUUCUAGCAAUAGCCGUUUGCGAGGUGCUGCAUGGUUGUCGUCAGCUCGUGCCGUGAGGGGUCGGCUUAAGUGCCAUAACGAGCGCAACCCUUGCCACUAGUUACUAACAGGUAAAGCUGAGGACUCUGGUGGGACUGCCAGCGUAAGCUGCGAGGAAGGCGGGGAUGACGUCAAAUCAGCACGGCCCUUACAUCCGGGGCGACACACGUGUUACAAUGGCGUGGACAAAGGGAGGCCACCUGGCGACAGGGAGCGAAUCCCCAAACCACGUCUCAGUUCGGAUCGGAGUCUGCAACCCGACUCCGUGAAGCUGGAUUCGCUAGUAAUCGCGCAUCAGCCAUGGCGCGGUGAAUACGUUCCCGGGCCUUGUACACACCGCCCGUCAAGCCAUGGGAGCCGGGGGUACCUGAAGUCCGUAACCGAAAGGAUCGGCCUAGGGUAAAACUGGUGACGGGGGCUAAGUCGUAACAAGGUAGCCGUACCGGAAGGUGCGGCUG
rnacentral:rRNA from 1 species